UACGGCGAGUGAGCGGGAUGAGCUCAAAUUUAAAAUCUGGCUGGUUUACUANUCCGAAUUGUAGUUUAUAGAAGCGUUUUCGGUGGCAGCCUGGGUAUAAAUCCUUUGGAAUAGGGUAUCAUAGAGGGUGAGAAUCCCGUCUUUGACUCAGUGCAUGCUACUAUGUGAUACGUUUUCAAAGAGUCGAGUUGUUUGGGAAUGCAGCUCAAAAUGGGUGGUAAAUUUCAUCUAAAGCUAAAUAUUGGCGAGAGACCGAUAGCGAACAAGUACCGUGAGGGAAAGAUGAAAAGAACUUUGAAAAGAGAGUUAAACAGUGCGUGAAAUUGUUGAAAGGGAAACGUUUGACACCAGUUAUGCGGGUGGAAAAUCAGUCUUUUGCAAUGGGGAGUUGUGGGCGUUCAGACCGCAAGGCUGGCGUUUGCUUCAUCUUUGUUGUAAGUGAUGCACUUUUUCAUUUGCAGGUCAACAUCAGUUUGCUUUGCUGGACAAAACCCCAAGGGAAGGUGGCAGCUUAGGCUGUGUUAUAGCCCUGGGGCGAUACAGUGGAGUGGACUGAGGUUUCGCAGUGUGUGCUCUCGGGCAAGGCUGACUGGGUGCUAUGGGAUCGUUCGGCGUACAAUGCAUGCAUUUUGCGUCGUGUCUUUUUCAUACUCGCUCAACUCGGCUCUUCCACACUUAGGAUGUUGACUUAAUGGUUUUAAACGACCCGUC
rnacentral:rRNA from 1 species